UUUAUGGAGAGUUUGAUCCUGGCUCAGGAUGAACGCUGGCGGCGUGCCUAAUACAUGCAAGUCGAGCGAACGGACGAGAAGCUUGCUUCUCUGAUGUUAGCGGCGGACGGGUGAGUAACACGUGGAUAACCUACCUAUAAGACUGGGAUAACUUCGGGAAACCGGAGCUAAUACCGGAUAAUAUUUUGAACCGCAUGGUUCAAAAGUGAAAGACGGUCUUGCUGUCACUUAUAGAUGGAUCCGCGCUGCAUUAGCUAGUUGGUAAGGUAACGGCUUACCAAGGCAACGAUGCAUAGCCGACCUGAGAGGGUGAUCGGCCACACUGGAACUGAGACACGGUCCAGACUCCUACGGGAGGCAGCAGUAGGGAAUCUUCCGCAAUGGGCGAAAGCCUGACGGAGCAACGCCGCGUGAGUGAUGAAGGUCUUCGGAUCGUAAAACUCUGUUAUUAGGGAAGAACAUAUGUGUAAGUAACUGUGCACAUCUUGACGGUACCUAAUCAGAAAGCCACGGCUAACUACGUGCCAGCAGCCGCGGUAAUACGUAGGUGGCAAGCGUUAUCCGGAAUUAUUGGGCGUAAAGCGCGCGUAGGCGGUUUUUUAAGUCUGAUGUGAAAGCCCACGGCUCAACCGUGGAGGGUCAUUGGAAACUGGAAAACUUGAGUGCAGAAGAGGAAAGUGGAAUUCCAUGUGUAGCGGUGAAAUGCGCAGAGAUAUGGAGGAACACCAGUGGCGAAGGCGACUUUCUGGUCUGUAACUGACGCUGAUGUGCGAAAAAGCGUGGGGAUCAAACAGGAUUAGAUACCCUGGUAGUCCACGCCGUAAACGAUGAGUGCUAAGUGUUAGGGGGUUUCCGCCCCUUAGUGCUGCAGCUAACGCAUUAAGCACUCCGCCUGGGGAGUACGACCGCAAGGUUGAAACUCAAAGGAAUUGACGGGGACCCGCACAAGCGGUGGAGCAUGUGGUUUAAUUCGAAGCAACGCGAAGAACCUUACCAAAUCUUGACAUCCUUUGACAACUCUAGAGAUAGAGCCUUCCCCUUCGGGGGACAAAGUGACAGGUGGUGCAUGGUUGUCGUCAGCUCGUGUCGUGAGAUGUUGGGUUAAGUCCCGCAACGAGCGCAACCCUUAAGCUUAGUUGCCAUCAUUAAGUUGGGCACUCUAAGUUGACUGCCGGUGACAAACCGGAGGAAGGUGGGGAUGACGUCAAAUCAUCAUGCCCCUUAUGAUUUGGGCUACACACGUGCUACAAUGGACAAUACAAAGGGCAGCGAAACCGCGAGGUCAAGCAAAUCCCAUAAAGUUGUUCUCAGUUCGGAUUGUAGUCUGCAACUCGACUACAUGAAGCUGGAAUCGCUAGUAAUCGUAGAUCAGCAUGCUACGGUGAAUACGUUCCCGGGUCUUGUACACACCGCCCGUCACACCACGAGAGUUUGUAACACCCGAAGCCGGUGGAGUAACCUUUUAGGAGCUAGCCGUCGAAGGUGGGACAAAUGAUUGGGGUGAAGUCGUAACAAGGUAGCCGUAUCGGAAGGUGCGGCUGGAUCACCUCCUUU
rnacentral:rRNA from 1 species